GACUUCUCAUCCCCACCACGGUGUGACAAGCCCUUGUUACAACAUCCAUCUACUGUCUCCAAAAAGCCCAAUACAAAACCCACACAUUAUAUCACCUAGUGAUCUACCAACAGAUGAGAGUUUAACCAGCGUUAUACCAGGAAGCUAUUACCACGGAUACUUCAAUCACAUAGCUGAAAAUAUGGAGAAAAGACAGGUAAAAAAAGAAAUCAUCUUAACUUGUAGUAGUCUUUUUGCUUUUUUAAAAUUUCUAUAAAAUACACUAAUAUCCCAAAAUAAAGAAUAUUAUGACACAUUGGUGUCGACUCACACAGAUGAAAGCUGAUGUCAGCUUUUUUCUAACUAAAGUUCAUUUCACCAAACCUUUAUAUAUUACAUGAAUAUCCAAGUAAAGUAUUUCUUUAAAAAAAAAAUUCAACACAAAGGAACAUAAUAUACAGUGUUUUUAUAUAUAUAUAAAAAAAAAUCAAUUAACAGGAAUGAUUCCACUUCUAGCCACAUUACGUAUCUCUUUAAGACAAUGGGAUCUCUUGCCAUUCUGUGACUCUUCAGUUCAUGUCAAUAUUUCCCAGCUACUUUUAUCUUAAAGUU
rnacentral:lncRNA from 1 species